ensembl:lncRNA
AUGGAAGGAGAAGGAGCCCCCGACACCUGGCGUCUCUUCCUGCAGGGAGGGAGAAGCAGACGUCCUACCGACGGACGAUGCUGUUCGGCCUCCAUAGCUCCAGCUGACCAGAUAAAGCCAGCGGGCUUCCUACCAAAGGCGCUCUGUUUCUCCCCUGCGCCGAGCCCGUGGCGUCUGUCAGAGACGGGAGUGUCUCGGUGCACGUGCAGAGUCCCUUCCGCUGAGGCACAACCGCAUUCCUCGGCGCCUCUCCCGGGACGGUCCUUCCGAGCAGUUUCGGAGCUGCCGGGCGGGCAAAGUCCUCCCCAGACCGUGCCCGCUUUGAGUGCCCACGGCCGAGGGAGACCAGCCUCGCCAGGUCCAGGCGAGGGACGGGCCUCCUCCAUCCUCCAGCCAGCCGCUGCCGUCUCCCUCCCUGAGAAGCUUCCUGGAAGGAGGAGCCGGACACCAUCCAGAGCCUGGCUCAGCUGCGCAGCCUGGAGAACUUCACCGAAAUGUGAGUGUCGCCUGCCCUGCUUGGCACCGGGGGUGGGGGGUGGGCGGUGGGAUCAAGUCUUUGGUGGGGGGAAGGUGAAGGACGCAGGCAGCUUUGGGGUUUCCCCCCUGCCCACGGGCAGCUCCAGCUUCCCAGGGGUUUCUCAUGAGAAGGGGAGAGGGAGGCUGGGUCAGCUGCCGUGCCAGGCAGGGGCCCAUGGAGGUUUGGGGGAAGGAGGCUACGCUGGCCACCGAGGCGUUCCGGGGCCAGAAAGCUGGUGGACAGUGGCUCGGUUGGGGAGCCUGCUUUUGGGGACACGGGGGGGGGCUUUCUGCCCCUUGGCCGCUGCCUGCACCCUGGGCAUGUCAGAAAGAGCGGCCCCAAGAGGAGCCUGAGGCCGGCACCAUGACAGGGAGGUUUCUGCCCGGGUGGGGUGACCCAGGGUGGCUGCAGCCCUCCCCUCUCGGUGGCCCCCCCACAGGUGCCGGCAGGGCCCCAGCGGUCUUUCAAUUUCUGCAGAGAUCCUUAUUUCACCACCACCCCCGCCUGGUUCCAGGGGCAAAGAAGGGAAGGGAAGGUACCGCGGGGGGGGGGCAUGGCAGCCCUUGCUGGCUUGGGAUGUGCCGGGACAGGACAUGCACAGGCUGUGGGGUCACUCCCUCCCCUUAGGAAGCGGAUGAGGAAGGGGCCCCACUGGGGCUUUUGUCCCCCCCCCCCCGGUCGGCCAGGGAUGGCCAAGCAGGAAAGCCUCCUGUGCUCGGCUUUUGUCUCACGCAGUUUGUGUUCAGAACACCACAAAACGCACGCCCUGAAAGGUGGUGGGCUGCUGGGGACGGACUCUGCCCGGCCGGCCUGGCCAGACGAAGGAGCCGACGGAAGGGAAGGGUGGCCCUGGGUGGCCGGGCUGCCUUCUGCUGGAGGGCGGAGACGCGGGCGGCCGGGCUUGAGGCGGCCCACGAGGCUUUUGUCUCACGCAGUUUGUGUUCAGAACACCACAAAACGCACGCCCUGAAAGGUGGUGGGCUGCUGGGGACGGACUCUGCCCGGCCGGCCUGGCCAGACGAAGGAGCCGACGGAAGGGAAGGGUGGCCCUGGGUGGCCGGGCUGCCUUCUGCUGGAGGGCGGAGACGCGGGCGGCCGGGCUUGAGGCGGCCCACGACACGACGCAACUGGUGGCAGCUGCCGGGGGACGCGGCUGCCACUCGCCUUCGCCUUGAAGCCCCCCAAG